rnacentral:rRNA from 1 species
UGGGGAAUAUUGCACAAUGGGCGAAAGCCUGAUGCAGCAACGCCGCGUGAGUGAUGAAGGCCUUCGGGUUGUAAAGCUCUGUCUUUUGGGACGAUAAUGACGGUACCAAAGGAGGAAGCCACGGCUAACUACGUGCCAGCAGCCGCGGUAAUACGUAGGCGGCAAGCGUUGUCCGGAUUUACUGGGCGUAAAGGAUGCGUAGGCGGAUUUUUAAGUGAGAUGUGAAAUACCCGGGCUUAACUUGGGUGCUGCAUUUCAAACUGGGAAUCUAGAGUGCGGGAGAGGAGAAUGGAAUUCCUAGUGUAGCGGUGAAAUGCGUAGGAUUAGGAAGAACACCAGUGGCGAAAGGCGAUUCUCUGGACCGUAACUGACGCUGAGGCAUGAAAGCGUGGGUAGCAAACAGGAUUAGAUACCCUGGUAGUCCACGCCGUAAACGAUGA